rnacentral:rRNA from 1 species
UACGUAGGGUGCGAGCGUUGUCCGGAAUUAUUGGGCGUAAAGAGCUUGUAGGCGGUUUGUCGCGUCUGCCGGGAAAAUUCGAGGCUCAACCUCGAACUUGCGGUGGGUACGGGCAGACUAGAGUGUGGUAGGGGAGACUGGAAUUCCUGGUGUAGCGGUGAAAUGCGCAGAUAUCAGGAGGAACACCGAUGGCGAAGGCAGGUCUCUGGGCCACUACUGACGCUGAGAAGCGAAAGCAUGGGGAGCGAACAGG